rnacentral:rRNA from 1 species
UACGUAGGUGGCAAGCGUUAUCCGGAUUUAUUGGGUGUAAAGGGCGUGUAGGCGGGAAAGCAAGUCAGAUGUGAAAACUCAGGGCUCAACCCUGAGCCUGCAUUUGAAACUGUGUUUCUUGAGUGCUGGAGAGGCAAUCGGAAUUCCGUGUGUAGCGGUGAAAUGCGUAGAUAUACGGAGGAACACCAGUGGCGAAGGCGGAUUGCUGGACAGUAACUGACGCUGAGGCUCGAAAGUGUGGGGAGCAAACAGG